CUGAUAGCUGCUUAAAUUUUGUUGAAUUGUUGUAAACUCCCCUGCCCCUAUCUGCAGUGAACCUCAUCGCUGUUUCUGACAAAGCAAUUGCUGUGCAUUGACAAGAAAAUCUGAGCAAAGCCAAUCCAGUCUGCAAUUGGCGUUUGUGGGACAACGCAGUGGAUGCAUUCUACUUGUGCCACUCGUGUGUCCUGCCAUGUGGGGCUGCCAGCUUCGAUGGGAAAAUUCUACUACGGGACUAUUUAAAAUACAUUUUAGGAUGGUGGUUCUUGGGCAGAAACAAUGAAGACACAUUUUUCUCACUUCCAUAGCACAAGGAAGACAAUAUCAGUGAUUUGUGCUGCCUGGUUAUCCAGUCUCUUUACCAACUUGGCUUAUUUGCUUGCUGCGAGAUAUGAACACUUAGGGCUGAAUGUGGCUCUCUUCUCUCUGGCCCAGUAAACUGAACAUGUAUGUCCAUUUAACUGCAGAACCAAACGAGCACAGUGGCAUAGAGCAACCACUAGGAAGAGGUGCUCGUAGUGCUAUUGGAAUCCGGCCAGCACGCUGUGAGAAGCCCACAUCACACGGAGAGACUCAAGGAGGAGAAAUGAGGCAGUCGGCUGAUAGCGCAAUUGAGCUCCAGGCCAUAGUGGGCUUUCCAGCCCAGCCAAGCCUUCAGAUGAUGGCAGCACCCCAGGUUAUAGAUACCAGACAGAGCAGAUAAACCACUCGACUGAACCCAGCCAUGCCACAGAACCACAAAAGAUAGCAAAUAGCAGCUUUGGUCUUAAGUGACUAUGUUUGGGAGUGGCUUGUUGCACAGAAAUAGAAAACUAAAACAAUGUCAAUUGAUUUUAUUCAUUUUAAUAAUCACCUACUAAUUCAUCAAAUAGCUAAAACUCAUGUCAUAAGAAAGGGGGCAUUUAUGUUAUGUCUAUAUCCUUGUAGGGACAGAGUGAUAGACAUCCUAUAUGCAUGUAUCUGGGCACCUGGGCAAACAGAUAUCUCUAGGUUAAAUUCCUAAAAUUAAAAUUCUUAUGAAAUGAUGUGUGAAUUUAAAAUUUGGGUAGAUAUUGCCAAAUCAUCCUCCAAAGGGGUCCUGCCACAUUUUGUAUUUCCACCAGAAAUGUAUGAAGGAGCCAGAUUCUCUGUACCCUUGCCUACAAGGGUAUGGGGAUAUAAUCAAACUUUUAAUCUUUCUUGUCCGACAGAUUAAAAAAAAAUUCAACCGUGUUGUGUUUUAGUUUACUUUUCU
rnacentral:lncRNA from 1 species